rnacentral:rRNA from 1 species
GGUGGAGCAUGUGGUUUAAUUCGAAGCUACGCGAAGAACCUUACCAGGUCUUGACAUACUAUGCAAAUCUAAGAGAUUAGACGUUCCCUUCGGGGACAUGGAUACAGGUGGUGCAUGGUUGUCGUCAGCUCGUGUCGUGAGAUGUUGGGUUAAGUCCCGCAACGAGCGCAACCCUUAUUAUCAGUUGCCAGCAUUAAGUUGGGCACUCUGGUGAGACUGCCGGUGACAAACCGGAGGAAGGUGGGGAUGACGUCAAAUCAUCAUGCCCCUUAUGACCUGGGCUACACACGUGCUACAAUGGAUGGUACAACGAGUUGCGAACUCGCGAGAGUAAGCUAAUCUCUUAAAGCCAUUCUCAGUUCGGAUUGUAGGCUGCAACUCGCCUACAUGAAGUCGGAAUCGCUAGUAAUCGCGGAUCAGCAUGCCGCGGUGAAUACGUUCCCGGGCCUUGUACACACCGCCCGUCACACCAUG